UACGAGGGGGGCGAGCGUUGUUCGGAAUUAUUGGGCGUAAAGGGUGCGUAGGCGGUUUGGUAAGUCUCGUGUGAAAUCUCCGGGCUCAACUCGGAGCCUGCACGAGAAACUGCCGGGCUUGAGUGUGGGAGAGGUGAGUGGAAUUCCUGGUGUAGCGGUGAAAUGCGUAGAUAUCAGGAGGAACACCGGUGGCGAAGGCGGGUCUCUGGGCCGAUACUGACGCUGAGGAGCGAAAGCGUGGGGAGCGAACAGG
rnacentral:rRNA from 1 species